UGGGAUGUGAAUGUGUUGCUGUGUCUGUCAGUGAAGCUCAGUAUCUGCAUUAAUAUAAUCACGCUUCUGUUUCCAGGAUUCAUCAUUGUUGCAGUUUUACCAGUGUUUACCACAGUGACGAAUUAUAACUGGGACGCACUGUGUGGUCAACAGAUGGGCUGUUCACCUGCGGUCAGGAGAUCAGUGUGGUUAACUCUCAUGAUGCUGAUCACUGCUGUCCUGGUCUACUUCUACAUCAUAGCUCUGGAAAAUGAAAAGGAUCGUGUCGGAUGGGCCUGUAUGAUUGCGUUUCUCCAGUUACUCUGGGCACUGAUCAACUUCACACGCUCAUUUA